GACGAACGCUGGCGGCGUGCUUAACACAUGCAAGUCGAACGGAAAGGCCCCUUUGGGGGUACUCGAGUGGCGAACGGGUGAGUAACACGUGAGUAACCUGCCCUUGACUUCGGGAUAACUUCAGGAAACUGGGGCUAAUACCGGAUAGGAAUCCUUGCUGCAUGGUGGGGGUUGGAAAGCUUCGGCGGUUUUGGAUGGACUCGCGGCUUAUCAGCUUGUUGGUGGGGUAGUGGCUUACCAAGGCUUUGACGGGUAGCCGGCCUGAGAGGGCGACCGGCCACAGUGGGACUGAGAUACGGCCCAGACUCCUACGGGAGGCAGCAGGGGGGAAUAUUGCACAAUGGGCGGAAGCCUGAUGCAGCAACGCCGCGUGCGGGAGGACGGCCUUCGGGUUGUAAACCGCUUUCAGCAGGGGCGAAGCUUGUGGUGACGGUACCUGCAGAAGAAGCACCGGCUAACUACGUG
rnacentral:rRNA from 1 species